UGAGGAGUAUGAGACGGAAAAAUGUCAAAUUUCUUCAUAAAUAAACUUCCUCUACUGAAUAAAAUUUAAGUUUCUUGUUCAGCAUAUGGCCAAGGAGAAAUUAUUUAAGUUUUUGAUUAAUUACUAAUUACUUCAUUUUUUUUUCUAGCUGUUGCAGUUUUAAUUUAUGGAGCAGGGCUCAUUGGUGUAAUCCUAAACUUCGCAUUCGCAUGCUCCCACGCUUUUGAUAAUGGAUUACUGUUCAUUGGACUAUGCUAUCGUGCCGCAAUAACAGUAUUAGGGACGGCAUGUCUGAUUGCGUUUUUGAUAUACAAAUGGCGUAGAAGGCAUUUAUCUAUGUAUGAUGCUAUUGAAGAAUUUUUGCAAACCCACAACAAUCUCAUGCCAAUAAGGUACUCUUACCCAGAAAUUAAGAAGAUGACCAAAAAUUUUAGGGUCAAAUUAGGUGAAGGAGGUUAUGGCACUGUAUAUAAAGGAACGCUUCGAAGUGGCCGUCUUGUAGCUAUAAAGAUGUUGGGUAAAUCCAAAGCUAAUGGACAAGACUUUAUAAAUGAAGUUGCAACCAUUGGAAGAAUUCACCAUGUUAAUGUAGUGCAGCUUAUUGGUUUUUCCAUUCAAGGGUCAAAGCGGGCUCUUAUAUAUGAAUUCAUGCCUAAAGGGUCUUUGAAUAAGUACAUUUUUUCGCCAGAAGAAAGUGUUGUCCUAAGCUACA